CGCUGAACUUAAGCAUAUUAAUAAGCGGAGGAAAAGAAACUAACAAGGAUUCCCCUAGUAACGGCGAGUGAAGCGGGAUGAGCUCAAGCUUAAAAUCUCUGUGCCAGUUUGGCAUGGCGAAUUGUAGUCUAUGGAGGCGCUGUCAGUGCGAUUGCGUGGGUUAAGUUCCUUGGAAGAGGACAGCAUCGAGGGUGAUACUCCCGUGUAUGCCUGUGCAAUUGUGCGUACGACACGUUUUCUUUGAGUCGCGUUGUUUGGGAAUGCAGCGCAAAGUAGGUGGUAAAUUCCAUCUAAAGCUAAAUAUUGGUGCGAGACCGAUAGCGAACAAGUACCGUGAGGGAAAGAUGAAAAGAACUUUGAAAAGAGAGUUAAAGAGUACCUGAAACUGCUGAAAGGGAAUCGAAUCGUUUCCAGUGUCUAUAAUCUGUGGCAUAUUUCAUUGGCGAGUGUGUGCGUGCAUUGUUUUGGAAGCAGUUUUCUGUUCCUGGCUGUGUUGUGCAUAUGCUUGCUGGUGCCCUGUGUCGCGGUGGGACGUCAGAGUCAAUUCGUAAGUUGCGGGAAAUGGCURUUGGGGAGGUAGGUCACUUCGGUGGCUGUUAUAUCCUGAUAGCUAGUAGUCGUGGCUGGGAUUGAGGUGCCUACAACGUGCUUUCGAGUGUCUGGGUGUCUCGUUUGGUAAGUUAUCUUGACAGCUUGCUGUGUUGGUGAUAUUAUCGAGCGAUUGAUGUCUGGUCUAACUUGUUGCCGUUCGGGACUUUGACGAAAUGGAGCGAUCCGUCCCGUCUUGAAACACGGACCAAGGAGUCUAACAUGUGUGCAAGUGUUCGGGUGUGGAAACCCAAACGCGAAAUGAAAGUGAAGGGCAGUUUACUGUCUGAGGUAGGAAACCUUUGUUCUCAAGGGUGGCACUAUCGACCGAUCAUGAACCUUCGUGGUGAAAGAUUUGAGUUUGAGCACAUAUGUUGGUACCCGAAAGAUGGUGAACUAUGCCUGAGUAGGGUGAAGCCAGGGGAAACUCUGGUGGAGGCUCGUAGCGAUUCUGACGUGCAAAUCGAUCGUCAAACUUGGGUAUAGGGGCGAAAGACUAAUCGAACCAUCUAGUAGCUGGUUCCCUCCGAAAUUUCCCUCAGGAUAGCAGCAACUUCUUUUCGAUAGUUUUAUGAGGUAAAGCGAAUGAUUAGAGGCCUCUGGGAAGAAACUUCCUGGACCUAUUCUCAAACUUUAAAUCUGUAAGACCUGCAGGUUUCUUAAUUGAACUUGUGGAUGUGAAUAUCAAGUUGCUAGUGGGCCAUACGGGGUAAGCUCGUCUGGCG
rnacentral:rRNA from 1 species